rnacentral:rRNA from 1 species
GCGGCGUGCUUAACACAUGCAAGUCGAACGGUGAAGCAGAGCUUGCUCUGUGGAUCAGUGGCGAACGGGUGAGUAACACGUGAGCAACCUGCCCCUGACUCUGGGAUAAGCGCUGGAAACGGCGUCUAAUACUGGAUAUGAGCUGCGAUCGCAUGGUCAGCAGUUGGAAAGAUUUUUCGGUCUGGGAUGGGCUCACGGCCUAUCAGCUUGUUGGUGAGGUAAUGGCUCACCAAGGCGUCGACGGGUAGCCGGCCUGAGAGGGUGACCGGCCACACUGGGACUGAGACACGGCCCAGACUCCUACGGGAGGCAGCAGUGGGGAAUAUUGCACAAUGGGCGAAAGCCUGAUGCAGCAACGCCGCGUGAGGGAUGACGGCCUUCGGGUUGUAAACCUCUUUUAGCAGGGAAGAAGCGAAAGUGACGGUACCUGCAGAAAAAGCGCCGGCUAACUACGUGCCAGCAGCCGCGGUAAUACGUAGGGCGCAAGCGUUAUCCGGAAUUAUUGGGCGUAAAGAGCUCGUAGGCGGUUUGUCGCGUCUGCUGUGAAAUCCCGAGGCUCAACCUCGGGUCUGCAGUGGGUACGGGCAGACUAGAGUGCGGUAGGGGAGAUUGGAAUUCCUGGUGUAGCGGUGGAAUGCGCAGAUAUCAGGAGGAACACCGAUGGCGAAGGCAGAUCUCUGGGCCGUUACUGACGCUGAGGAGCGAAAGGGUGGGGAGCAAACAGGCUUAGAUACCCUGGUAGUCCACCCCGUAAACGUUGGGAACUAGUUGUGGGGUCCAUUCCACGGAUUCCGUGACGCAGCUAACGCAUUAAGUUCCCCGCCUGGGGAGUACGGCCGCAAGGCUAAAACUCAAAGGAAUUGACGGGGACCCGCACAAGCGGCGGAGCAUGCGGAUUAAUUCGAUGCAACGCGAAGAACCUUACCAAGGCUUGACAUAUACGAGAACGGGCCAGAAAUGGUCAACUCUU